rnacentral:rRNA from 1 species
CCCUUAGAUGUUCUGGGCCGCACGCGCGCUACACUGACGGAGGCAGCGAACAUGUCCUUCGCCGAGAGGUGUGGGGAAUCUUGUGAGUCUCCGUCGUGCUGGGGAUAGAUGGUUGCAAUUGUCGAUCUUGAACGAGGAAUUCCUAGUAAGCGCGAGUCAUCAGCUCGCGCUGAUUACGUCCCUGCCCUUUGUACACACCGCCCGUCGCUACUACCGAUUGGAUGGCUUAGCGAGAAUUUUGGAUCGGAGCCCGGGUGGUCGGCAACGGUCGCCCGGGAGAUCUGAGAAAUCAUUCCAGCUUGGUCAUCUAGAGGAAGUAAAAGUCGUAACA